AACGAACGCUGGCGGCAUGCCUAACACAUGCAAGUCGAACGAGACCUUCGGGUCUAGUGGCGCACGGGGGCGUAACGCGGGGGAACCUGCCCUUAGGUUCGGAAUAACUCCCCGAAAGGGGUGCUAAUACGGGAGAAUGUCUUCGGACCAAAGAUUUAGCGCCUUUGGAUGGGCCCGCGUUGGAUUAGCUGGUUGCGAGGGUAAACGCCUAUCAAGGCGACGAGACAUAGCUGGGUUGGGAGGAGGAUCAGCCACACUGGGGCUGAGACACGGCCCAGACUCCUGCGGGAGGCAGGAGUGUGUGAUCUUGGCCAGUCGCCGGAGGCCUGAUCCAGCACUGCCGGGUGAGUGAUGAAGGCUUUAGGGUUGUAAAGCUCUUUUACCCGGGAUGAUAAUGACGGUACCGGGAGAAUAAGCUCCGGCUAACUCCGUG
rnacentral:rRNA from 1 species